rnacentral:rRNA from 1 species
GACGUAGGGCGCGAGCGUUGUCCGGAUUUAUUGGGCGUAAAGAGCUCGUAGGCGGCUUGUCGCGUCGACUGUGAAAACUUGGGGCUCAACCCCAAGCUUGCAGUCGAUACGGGCAGGCUAGAGUUCGGUAGGGGAGACUGGAAUUCCUGGCGUAGCGGUGAAAUGCGCAGAUAUCAGGAAGAACACCCGUGGCGAAGGCGGCUCUCUGGGACGGUACUGACGCUGAGACGCGAAAGCGUGGGGAGCGAACAGG